ACUCCAUCUUCUACCCCGUUCGUCCAGUUUGCCCACCCCAAAAUCCCCUCGUUCUGUUCCGGCCGCCACAGACCUACACCCCCGUAGUCCCUCCUCUGUCUCCGUCUUGAGCAGCGGCGGAGACCGGAACCACCCUUCCAAGCCAGGGUCCGGCCGCCGCCAACGCACACCCCUAUCCCCUCCUUCUCGGUCGAUUUGAAUGGCCCCUACGAACUAGGGUUCCGGCCGUCGCAGACGCAGACCGCCGUGGCGCAGCUGGUCGAUCUUCGGCUAGGAUGAUCUGUGGCCAUGAAGGUUUCGGAGGGCCGCAUGGCCCAACCGGUCAAGUACUGGGCCGAGGCAGACGCGGUGUCGCCGGCGGUUGCCGCCGACGGCGGCGACGAAGCUGCCGGUGGCCGAGGCACAUGCGGUGUCGACGGCGGUUGCCGCAGAGCACAGCGACGAAGCUGCAGGUGGCCGAGGCAGAGGCGUUGUCGCCGGCGGUUGCCGCCGAGCGCGGCAACGAAGCUGCAGAUGGCCUAGCCCACCGGCUCAGCUCUUCUCAGACGGCAUCCCGGGACAACAGGCUGACCAUGGUUGGCGGCGGAGUUAGAGCGGAGGAAGUUGCGAAAUGCGCCGUCGCCCAGCAGCUGCACGCCCAGCUGCAACGCCGCCUCCUCCUGCCGCAAAUUGGCUUGAGUGGCCUUACGUCCAUGGUCAUCAGUCUUGUCACGGCGUCGAGGUCUAGUGAAUGACGGUUGUUGCCCUGCAGAGUUUCCAAAGCCGACAGUGAUGCAGCGUGCAACAUGCAGCAUACAGCGAUGAGGCCGUGCCACUAAAAUCUGAGCAUAUGACUUAGUGUUGACAAAGGGAUUCUUGAUGUUGUUCCUGUAUUGGAAAUCUGAUUUUACAAGUAAAGCUCAAGAGUGGGUUUUAGGUUUCUGUGGAGAUGUUGGAGCAUAAACUCCCUGUUUGUAUGUGGAAAGCAUGUCAUUAGACAAUGUUGUGUUACUAUUAAAUCCAGGAGCCCCCUUUCAGCAUCAGCAAACAUCAACCGGACUUGUAUCUCUUCUAAUUUUCAUUUUAUUGUUGUUGUCGUGGUUCUUCAUUCAGCAGAGACCUUUUGAGGCAAGCACGGGUUUUGAUGCUGCAAUACCACACUUAACAAAUCAUACUUUUCACGGGGAUUCUUCGAACAUGCUUGGCACAUUCAUCCAAGGAGGAUAUACAGAACUUCUACUCCAAACUGCUAAAACUUCAGAGCUGCAGCCCACUUCGAGAAGAUUGGAUUUUGAUUCCAUGAAUCGUGGAGGAUGCAAGGAGUAGGCAUAGCAGUAGUACCUUUUAUUAUUUCUUCUUGUAUUCAGUUGGUUCAGAACAUAAAUAUGUGUUCCAUUGAACUGGAUCAUGACAAUGAGGAUGUUCAUUUACUAAUUCCAUCUUUUUACUUGUUCC